CAGCCGCCGCGGUAAUACGUAGGUGGCAAGCGUUGUCCGGAAUUAUUGGGCGUAAAGCGCGCGCAGGUGGUUUAAUAAGUCUGAUGUGAAAGCCCACGGCUCAACCGUGGAGGGUCAUUGGAAACUGUUAAACUUGAGUGCAGGAGAGAAAAGUGGAAUUCCUAGUGUAGCGGUGAAAUGCGUAGAGAUUAGGAGGAACACCAGUGGCGAAGGCGGCUUUUUGGCCUGUAACUGACACUGAGGCGCGAAAGCGUGGGGAGCAAACAGGAUUAGAUACCCCCGUAGUCCCUGUCUCUUAUAA
rnacentral:rRNA from 1 species